rnacentral:tRNA from 1 species
GGAGAUAUAGCUCAGUGGUACAGCACGUGCCUAGCAUGCACAAGGUCCUGGGUUCAAUCCCCAGUACCUCCA